AGGCCACUUCAGGUUCUCAUGGUUCAGUUGUGUAUCUACCAUCACACAACACUGGGCGGUAACUUCACAACCAAAUGAAAUCUAUCAACCGAACAACUCAAGGAUGGAUCUAUACCGACUUCAAACUUGGAACCUAUCAUCCGAGUGACCUGAAGAAACUCAUGUUUGAGGUGUUCCCGGACCCACCAGACUCACCUGCUGGACUCUGGGUCCGGAGUCUGUCAUGCUUCAGUCAAGCAAAGGCCUGAAGACAAACCAGCGGUCAGCAGCAUCAGGAAAAUCUAAGCAUCCCCAGGAAGAUGCGUCAUGAUGACCACUGUGACCCAGAUGGGACAUGAUCUGGACAGUUUUUGUAUAAAUGUUAUGGCUUUGCUACUUCGUGCAUUAUAAAUACCCAAUUUAAGUUUCUAUUUCAUCGGCCAUGAAUAAAGUGCUUUAUGUUAUAGCAGAAAA